GAUACCCUACGGGGGGCAGCAGUGGGGGAUAUUGCACAAUGGGGGAAACCCUGAUGCAGCGACGCCGCGUGAGAGAUGAAGUAUUUCGGUAUGUAAAGCUCUAUCAGCAGGGAAGAAAAUGACGGUACCUGACUAAGAAGCCCCGGCUAACUACGUGCCAGCAGCCGCGGUAAUACGUAGGGGGCAAGCGUUAUCCGGAUUUACUGGGUGUAAAGGGAGCGUAGACGGCAA
rnacentral:rRNA from 1 species